rnacentral:rRNA from 1 species
AUUGAACGCUGGCGGAAUGCUUUACACAUGCAAGUCGAACGGCAGCACGGACUUCGGUCUGGUGGCGAGUGGCGAACGGGUGAGUAAUGUAUCGGAACGUGCCCAGUCGUGGGGGAUAACGUAGUGAAAAUUACGCUAAUACCGCAUACGAUCUAUGGAUGAAAGCGGGGGAUCGCAAGACCUCGCGCGAUUGGAGCGGCCGAUAUCAGAUUAGGUAGUUGGUGGGGUAAAGGCCCACCAAGCCAACGAUCUGUAGCUGGUCUGAGCGGACGACCAGCCACGCGGGAACUGAGACACGGGCCAGACUCCUACGAGAGGCAGCAGUGGGGAAUUUUGGACAAUGGGCGAAAGCCUGAUCCAGCCAUUCCGCGUGCAGGAUGAAGGCCCUCGGGUUGUAAACUGCUUUUGUACAGAACGAAAAGGUUUCUACUAAUACUAGGAGCUCAUGACGGUACUGUAAGAAUAAGCACCGGCUAACUACGUGCCAGCCGCCGCCGUAA